rnacentral:rRNA from 1 species
GACGAACGCUGGCGGCGUGCUUAACACAUGCAAGUCGAACGGAAAGGCCCUGCUUUUGUGGGGUGCUCGAGUGGCGAACGGGUGAGUAACACGCGUGUAACCUGCCCUUGACUUUGGGAUAACUUCAGGAAACUGGGGCUAAUACCGGAUAGGAGCUCCCGCUGCACGGGGGGGGUUGGAAAGUUUCGGCGGUUGGGGAUGGACUCGCGGCUCAUCAGCCUGUUGGUGGGGUAGUGGCCUACCAAGGCUUUGACGGGUAGCCGGCCUGGGAGGGUGACCGGCCACAUUGCGACUGCGGUACGGCCCAGACUCCUACGGGAGGCAGCGGUGGGGAAUAUUGCACAAUGGGCGGAAGCCUGAUACGACAACGCCGCGUGCGGGAUGACGGCCUUCGGGUUGUGAACCGCUUUCGCCUGUGACGAAGCGUGAGUGACGGUAAUGGGUAAAGAAGCACCGGCUAACUACGUG